rnacentral:tRNA from 1 species
AGCCCCGUAGUGGAAUCCACGUCAGAUUGCAAACCUGAAGAUGCAGAUUAAGACCUGCCGGGGCUU